UUAGUUCCAUCAUCAGCCCUGGAGCUGCUUGGGUUCCGUCAGCCUGUCAAGAUUUCCCAUUUCUUUUGAGGAAAGGGUGCAGACCCAAAAAAACCAAGAAACCAACUCUCAUUUGUGCUUUCAGUGCUUGGAAACCCAGAAGGGAAACCAUGCCAUUUUUGGGCCAAGACUGGAGAUCUCCAGGAUGGAGAUGGAUUAAAACUGAAGAUGGUUGGAAAAGAUGUGACUCCUUCAGUCCAGAACUUGAGGAUGAGAGCAGCCAGCUCAACAACAACAUCAGUCACACUGUCAUCUUAGCUGAUGAUGAUGAAGAAGAAGAAGAAAUAUACAGAACUGAAGAUUGUGAAUUUGCAGCCAAGAAAAGGAAAAAAGACCAUUUUCGGAAUAAAUCAAAAUCACAAUGUUUUUAUCGUGAAAAAUGGAUCUAUGUUCACAAAGAAAGCACCAGAGAAUAUGUUUUCUUCUUUUUCAAGAGACAUGGCUAUUGCACAUUGGGAGAAGCUUUUAAUCGCUUAGAUUUUUCAAGUGCAAUUCAGGACAUCAGAAGGUUCAAUUAUGUGGUCAAAUUGUUGCAGUUAAUUGCAAAAUCUCAGCUAACCUCACUGAGUGGUGCAGCACAGAAGAACUACUUCAAUAUUUUGGACAAAAUUGUACGAAAGGUUUUGGAAGACCAACACAAUCCACGCUUAAUCAAAGAUCUUCUUCAGGAUCUGAGUUCUACUCUCUGUAUACUGAUUAGGGGAGUAGGGAAAUCUGUGUUGGUGGGGAACAUCAAUAUUUGGAUUUGCCGAUUAGAAACUAUCCUUACAUGGCAACAACAGCUAAAAAAUCUUCAGAUGAAUAAGCAAGUCAACAAUGGUCUCACACUCAGCGAUCUUCCUCUGCAUAUGCUGAAUAACAUUUUAUACAGGUUCUCAGAUGGCUGGGACAUUAUUACCCUAGGUCAAGUGACCCCAACACUGUACAUGCUCAGCGAAGACAGGCAGUUAUGGAAAAAACUUUGCCAGUACCAUUUUGCAGAAAAACAGUUCUGUAGGCAUUUGAUCCUGUCGGAAAAAGGUCACAUUGACUGGAAGCUGAUGUACUUUGCACUUCAGAAAUGUUAUCCAAUAAAGGAACAAUAUGGGGACACAUUACAUUUUUGUCGACAUUGUAGUAUUCUGUUUUGGAAGGAGUUCUGAGUGCUGUUCUGCAGAUCAAUUCCCAGGCAGGAGUAACAAUAAUUUCUUGCUGGCACUGGCACUAGUGAUUGCUGUUGCAAGACUUCAUAUACAGAAGACUACCACCUUGCUUUGUUACUCAAGCAGGUGCAGCUGUCACUGAACUCAGAAAUUUAUGCCCUCUUACACGAAGGAUGAAUUUUGCACAAAGUAGGCAUUAAUGGCUGUUUCCACAUUCUAAUGGAUUUAGUUCAGCACUGAAAUCUGAGAACAGUAAAGGCAACAUCACAGAAUUCUGUCUCUGCAGUAUGAAACAAAGGAUACAGGGCAUCCCUGCACAGCCAAUGAUCCAGACACCUGUUUCAUGCCAGUUUCUCCACAGCACUUCAUUGAUCUCUUCAAAUUUUAAGAGGUGCAAUGGCCUUGUUUUUGUUCUUAUUUUUGGUCAUCUUCGUGAAGAAUCAUGCAGUAUGUAUUAUGCUUUGUGUGCAGUAUCUUUUUAAAUGUACUUCAUAGUAAAAAGGGAUGUCUAGGAGGGAGGGGGGAAAUUGGAGAGGUGUAUUCCAAAUGCUGUUGUGUGCAGAAAUGAACUGAAGAGGAAUAAGUAUCUCCAAUGAAGACACAUUCUGUAGGCAUGUCUACAAAAGGCUCUUUUGAAUCCAAAAAGAGUACAUUUUUAGUCCUGCCUUUAAGUUCAUUUUGUACUGAUUUAACAUUUCAUUAAACCUGUUGAGACUUGGGGGAGAGAGUUGUUGGAAGGGCUAUUCUUGGAGUGACCAAAAGCAAUUUGUCUUAAUCCUUCACUCUUUUUAUGCCACCAUUUUCCAAGUACUUACAUACACUUUGCACAUUUAUAAAUAUUCAUCUGAUACCUUUUUGGACUCCUUCAUAAAUAUCAAGUCAGUUACCAAGUUGGCAUUAAUCAUUGUGAGUUUGUAUGUGAAUAAAAUAUAGAGUUGUGAUUAUCUGUUGUUGAACCUGUUAUGAAGGAAACCAACCUCUGUACAUACAUUAUGCAAAAUAUUUAUUUUCUUAAAAGGUAUUUUAUUAACUACAUCAAACCUGUUUAAAGACAUCCUAAAUAGUAUGGGAGGCUGUUCAGUGGCUGCUGAAGAAUGAUGGAUUUUUCCAGUGGUAGCCGCUGUCUUUUAUUUUUAUUUAAUUUUUAUUUUACAUUUGGUGUUAAACUAUUGCAGAAGGACUUUUAGACAUCCUCAAGAAAGGACACAUUACUGAGCAGAAAAUUAAUACAGCACGUUGCUAGGCCUCUGGUACAGUGGUAGUAUUACAUUGUUCUAGUAACUGAGGCUCUGAGCUGGAAAUUCUUUGCACUAAAAGGUCGCUUGUUGAUCUGGAGCACCUCCUGCUGACUAACCCCAUAGUGAUGUGAAUUCUGCAGGAAGCUACCUUCUUAUACCUUGUAAAUUACAGAGGAGGGGAGGGGCGCUGUCCAGAGACAGGAAGAAAUAACAAAGUUAUUCACAAAGUUUUUUGGAGAGAUCAUUUACCAACUGUGUAAUGUAAAGACAAAACAUAUUAUAUAUCACACUGCUUGUUUUGAAUCUAGUUUUGUACACAAUGUAAUAAAUCAUGUUUUACCUAUUA